rnacentral:rRNA from 1 species
UGGGGAAUAUUGCACAAUGGGGGAAACCCUGAUGCAGCAACGCCGCGUGAGUGAUGAAGGCCUUCGGGUUGUAAAGCUCUGUCUUCAGGGACGAUAAUGACGGUACCUGAGGAGGAAGCCACGGCUAACUACGUGCCAGCAGCCGCGGUAAUACGUAGGUGGCAAGCGUUGUCCGGAUUUACUGGGCGUAAAGGGAGCGUAGGCGGAUACUUAAGUGGGAUGUGAAAUACCUGGGCUUAACUUGGGUGCUGCAUUCCAAACUGGGUGUCUAGAGUGUUGGAGAGGAAAGUGGAAUUCCUAGUGUAGCGGUGAAAUGCGUAGAGAUUAGGAAGAACACCAGUGGCGAAGGCGACUUUCUGGACAAUAACUGACGCUGAGGCUCGAAAGCGUGGGGAGCAAACAG